GCGUUGUCCGGAUGUAUUGGGCGGAAAGCGCGCGCAGGUGGUUUCUUAAGGCUGAUGGGAAAGCCCACGGCUCAACCGUGGAGGGUCAUUGGAAACUGGGGAACUUGAGUGCAGAAGAGGAUAGUGGAAUUCCAAGUGUAGCGGUGAAAUGCGUAGAGAUUUGGAGGAACACCAGUGGCGAAGGCGACUAUCUGGUCUGUAACUGACACUGAGGCGCGAAAGCGUGGGGAGCAAACAGG
rnacentral:rRNA from 1 species